rnacentral:rRNA from 1 species
CACACGCAGCUCGAGUGGUGGUCUCUUUUAUUGAUCCUAAAGUGUUUUUAGCCGGUUUUGCAAAUCUUCAGAUAAAUUCCUCUGAUUAACAGAUGAUCUUCUGAAGAGACUGCGAGACUUGGGACCGGGUGAGGUUGAAGGUACUUCUGGGGUAGGGGUAAAAUCCUGUAAUCCUGGAAGGACGACCGGUGGCGAAGGCGUUCAACGAGAACGUAUACGACGGUGAGGAACGAGGUCUAGGGUAGCAAACCGG